rnacentral:rRNA from 1 species
GAAUCUUCCCAGUAGUGGGGAAUAACCAGUCGAAAGAUUGGGCUAAUACCGCAUACGUCUGAAAAGGGAAAGCGGGGGAUCGCAAGACUCGCGCUAUUGGAUGAGCCAAAGUCGGAUUAGCUUGUUGGUGGGGUAAUGGCCUACCAAGGCGACAAUCCGUAGCUGGUCUGAGAGGACGACCAGCCACACCGGAACUGAGACAGGUCCGGACUCCAUACGGGAGGCAGCAGUGGGGAAUAUUGGACAAUGGGGGAAACCCUGAUCCAGCGACGCCGCGUGUGUGAAGAAGGCCUGCGGGUUGUAAAGCACUUUUAGUGGGGACAAAAAGCUACGGACUAAUACUCUGUGGUCUUGAUUUAACCCAAAGAAAAAGCACCGGCUAACUCUGUGCCAGCAGCCGCGGUAAUACAGAGGGUGCGAGCGUUAAUCGGAAUUACUGGGCGUAAAAGCGCGCGUUAGACGGGUUUUGUAAGUCAGAUGUGAAAUCCCUGGGCUCAACCUGGGAACUGCAUUUGAGACUGCAUGGCUAGAGUAUCCGAAGAGGGAAGGUGGAAUUUCCCGGUGGUAGCGGGUGAAAU